rnacentral:rRNA from 1 species
GGGAAUUUUCCGCAAUGGGCGAAAGCCUGACGGAGCAACGCCGCGUGAGGGAUGAAGGCCUCUGGGCUGUAAACCUCUUUUCUCAAGGAAGAAGACCUGACGGUACUUGAGGAAUAAGCCACGGCUAAUUCCGUGCCAGCAGCCGCGGUAAUACGGGAGUGGCAAGCGUUAUCCGGAAUUAUUGGGCGUAAAGCGUCCGCAGGCGGCCUUUCAAGUCUGCUGUUAAAGCGUGGAGCUUAACUCCAUUAAGGCAGUGGAAACUGUUGGGCUUGAGUGUGGUAGGGGCAGAGGGAAUUCCCGGUGUAGCGGUGAAAUGCGUAGAUAUCGGGAAGAACACCAGUGGCGAAGGCGCUCUGCUGGGCCAUAACUGACGCUCAUGGACGAAAGCCAGGGGAGCGAAAGGGAUUAGAUACCCCUGUAGUCA